rnacentral:SRP_RNA from 1 species
GCCGGGCGUGAUGGCACAUGCCUGUAGUCCCAGCUACUCAGGAGGCUGAGGUAGGAGAAUUGUUUGAACCCGGGAGGCUGAGGUUGCAGUGAGCCGAGAUUGUGCCACUGCACUCCAGCCUGGGUGACAGAGCAAGACUCUAUCUCAA